CGGACGGUUCCUGUUCCGCCUCGAAGCGAUCCGGGGCUCCAACUCUAGCGACCAGUUCCUCGGUCUCUGUGGCGGUGGUGGCAGAGCCCGCGCAACGAGAGGGUGGUGGUGUGCGUGUCCUCCCAUGCUUGCAACCUUCCAUCCCCUGUUCGAAUGGUUGGUUCUCUGUUGUGAUCAAUGACGAAUAUUGCCCUGCUGGCUUCUUUCAACUGUUUAUAGCUUGAAUUGUUUGGUUGAUUUGGUAGCUGAUCUGAGUAGGGAUUCCGAGCAUUUCUUUUCGCCCCUUUCUUGUGGCUUCCUUUCAUUAACGAUCGAUUUCUUUGGUGUAGUUUUUCGUUUCGGGAUUAAUGGAACGAAAUGGGUGGAUGCCCUGAGAAAUUUAGGUUGCACCCGACAAUUUGAUGCUUGGGAAGGUGAGACCAACUUGAUGCAGCGUCGGUAGCAUCAUCUUGGUGGGGAUCUCAUUGUUGCACAAGGAUCAAAUACGUUGCUAGUCAUCGAACUAUCGAUGCCAUUAGAUGGCGUCCCGCCUUUGCUUUCUUGUCCAAAAACCUGAGAGGUUUGUUUUGGGGCAGAGGCAACAAUGGCGGUAGAACUGUUGUGUUUGGGCGGAAGGAUUGAUAACUAUUUGAUGAUUAGGCAAUGCUAAUAUUGCGAAUGAUGAUUGAUGUUAGCAUUGGAUAAAUCGUCUCUGGACGAUGAUAUGCGAUUAUUAGCUCAACCUGUGGUCAGGUCAGGUGCAACUUAACACACACAGUUGAAGAUUUGUAGGUGUCGAAAAUGGUGCCGAUUAAGGCCAAUAUUGAGAAGCUAAUGGCAGAACCUAACUCCUAUGACCCCUAGAAUGGACAUUAUUUAAUUGGACAUAGGUUGAGCUGCCUGAAUGCUUAAAUGGUUAUUUAAUGUGAUGCUCUUGCCUAUUAUGACCAGUAUGGAAUUUUUUUUCAGAUCAGGAUGUUUUUUAUGGCUUUUGGGUUGUGAAUCAUCAUCAACUAAGCUGUUGUGUUGCUAUAAUUAUUUAACUGGCUCUCUCUCUCUCUCUCUCUCUCUCUCUCU
rnacentral:lncRNA from 1 species